rnacentral:rRNA from 1 species
UAAGGAAUAUUGGGCAAUGGACGCAAGUCUGACCCAGCCAUGCCGCGUGAAGGACGAAGGCCCUAUGGGUUGUAAACUUCUUUUGUAUGGGAAUAAACCCAGAUACGUGUAUCUGGCUGAAUGUACCAUAAGAAUAAGGAUCGGCUAACUCCGUGCCAGCAGCCGCGGUAAUACGGAGGAUCCAAGCGUUAUCCGGAUUCAUUGGGUUUAAAGGGUGCGUAGGCGGAUUUGUAAGUCAGUGGUGAAAGCCAACAGCUCAACUGUUGAACUGCCAUUGAUACUGCAAGUCUUGAGUACAUUUGAUGUGGGCGGAAUGUGUCAUGUAGCGGUGAAAUGCUUAGAUAUGACACAGAACACCGAUUGCGAAGGCAGCUCACAAAACUGUAACUGACGCUGAGGCACGACAGCGUGGGGAUCAAACAG